CCGAGCGACGUCGCGUGAACAAUGAAGUACUUCGGUAUGUAAAGUUCUUUUAUUGAAAAAAAAAAAAUAGUGAAAAAACUAUCUUGACAUUAUUCAAUGAAUAAGCCCCGGCUAAUUAUGUGCCAGCAGCCGCGGUAAUACAUAAGGGGCGAGCGUUAUCCGGAAUUAUUGGGCGUAAAGGGUGCGUAGGCGGUUUGAUAAGUCUAUAGUUUAAAUGCAGCGCUUAACGCUGUAGCGCUAUAGAAACUGUCUGACUAGAGUUAGAUAGAGGCAAGCGGAAUUCCAUGUGUAGCGGUAAAAUGCGUAAAUAUAUGGAGGAACACCAGAGGCGUAGGCGGCUUGCUGGGUCUUAACUGACGCUGAGGCACGAAAGCGUGGGGAGCAAACAGGAUUAGAUACCCUGGUAGUCCACGCCGUAAACGAUGAGUACUAAGUGUCGGGUUUCGGCUCGGUACUGAAGUUAACACAUUAAGUACUCCGCCUGAGUAGUACGUACGCAAGUAUGAAACUUAAAGGAAUUGACGGGACCCCGCACAAGCGGUGGAUCAUGUUGUUUAAUUCGAAGAUACACGAAAAACCUUACCAGGUCUUGACAUAAUUUUGCGACAUUAUAGAAAUAUAAUGAAGGUUAUCAGAAUUACAGGUGGUGCAUGGUUGUCGUCAGCUCGUGUCGUGAGAUGUUAGGUUAAGUCCUAAAACGAGCGCAACCCUUGUCGUUAGUUGCGACCACGUAAUGGUGAGCACUUUAGCGAGACUGCCAAUGAAAAAUUGGAGGAAGGUGAGGAUUACGUCAAAUCAUCAUGCCCCUUAUGAUCUGGGGUACAAACGUGAUACAAUGGCUGUUACAAAGAGUAGGUACAACGUGAGUUUUUAGCCAAUUUCAUAAAAACUGUUUCAGUUCGGAA
rnacentral:rRNA from 1 species